GAGUGAUCAAGUGUCUUAAGGGCAUUUGGUGGAUGCCUUGGCAUGCACAGGCGAUGAAGGACGUGAUACGCUGCGAUAAGCGUCGGGGAGGUGCGAAUACCCUUUGAUCCGACGAUUUCCGAAUGGGGCAACCCACCUUAGAUAGCUAGAAAAUCACUUUAGUUGGAGCAAGUCUGUUGGGUAAGUGCCCAUACAGACCGCUAGGUCGUCGGUCCUUAUGGACCGUCCCUGCGGAGUGCCAGCAGCGCAAGCUGCGUACGGCACGCGAGCAAGAACUAAAAUGAUUUCUAGUUAUCGUAAUAAG
rnacentral:rRNA from 1 species